rnacentral:rRNA from 1 species
AGUGAACGCUGGCGGCAGGCCUAACACAUGCAAGUCGAGCGGCAGCGGGUCCUUCGGGAUGCCGGCGAGCGGCGGACGGGUGAGGAAUGCGUCGGAAUCUGCCUUUUUGUGGGGGAUAACGUAGGGAAACUUACGCUAAUACCGCAUACGACCUACGGGUGAAAGUGGGGGACCGCAAGGCCUCACGCAGAAAGAUGAGCCGACGUCGGAUUAGCUAGUUGGCGGGGUAAAGGCCCACCAAGGCGAGGAUCCGUAGCUGGUCUGAGAGGAUGAUCAGCCACACUGGAACUGAGACACGGUCCAGACUCCUACGGGAGGCAGCAGUGGGGAAUAUUGGACAAUGGGCGCAAGCCUGAUCCAGCCAUGCCGCGUGUGUGAAGAAGGCCUUCGGGUUGUAAAGCACUUUUGUCCGGAAAGAAAUCCUGUCGGCUAAUACCCGGCGGGGAUGACGGUACCGGAAGAAUAAGCACCGGCUAACUUCGUG